rnacentral:rRNA from 1 species
UAGGGAAUAUUGGGCAAUGGAGGCAACUCUGACCCAGCCAUGCCGCGUGCAGGAAGACGGCCCUCUGGGUUGUAAACUGCUUUUGAAUGGGAAGAAUGUGAUGUUUGCGAGCAUUAAUGACGGUACCAUUAGAAUAAGCCACGGCUAACUACGUGCCAGCAGCCGCGGUAAUACGUAGGUGGCGAGCGUUAUCCGGAUUUAUUGGGUUUAAAGGGUGCGUAGGCGGCUUAAUAAGUCGGUGGUAAAAGGUAGCAGCUUAACUGUUUUACAUGCCAUCGAUACUGUUGAGCUUGAGUUAUUUGGAGGCAGCUAGAAUUUCCGGUGUAGCGGUGAAAUGCAUAGAUACCGGAAGGAAUACCGAUUGCGAAGGCAGGUUGCUACGAAUAUACUGACGCUGAUG